AGUGAACGCUGGCGGUAGGCCUAACACAUGCAAGUCGAACGGCAGCACAGAGGAGCUUGCUCCUUGGGUGGCGAGUGGCGGACGGGUGAGGAAUACAUCGGAAUCUACUCUGUCGUGGGGGAUAACGUAGGGAAACUUACGCUAAUACCGCAUACGACCUACGGGUGAAAGCAGGGGAUCUUCGGACCUUGCGCGAUUGAAUGGGCCGAUGUCGGAUUAGAUAGUUGGCGGGGUAAAGGCCCACCAAGGCGACGAUCCGUAGCUGGUGUGAGAGGGUGAUCAGCCACACUGGAACUGAGACACGAUCCAGACGCCUACGGGAGGCAGCAGUGGGGAAGAUUGGACAAUGGGCGCAAGCCUGAUCCAGCCAUACCGCGUGGGUGAAGAAGGCCUUCGGGUUGUAAAGCCCUUUUGUUGGGAAAGAAAUCUUCUGGGCUAAUACCCCGGGAGGAUGACGGUACCUGAAGAAUAAGCACCGGCUAACUACGUGCCAGCCGCCGCAGUAA
rnacentral:rRNA from 1 species